GGAACCUGCCUCAAAGAGGGGGACAACAGUUGGAAACGACUGCUAAUACCGCAUAAGCCCACGACCCGGCAUCGGGUAGAGGGAAAAGGAGCAAUCCGCUUUGAGAUGGCCUCGCGUCCGAUUAGCUGGUUGGUGAGGUAACGGCCCACCAAGGCGACGAUCGGUAGCCGGACUGAGAGGUUGAACGGCCACAUUGGGACUGAGACACGGCCCAGACUCCUACGGGAGGCAGCAGUGGGGAAUAUUGCACAAUGG
rnacentral:rRNA from 1 species